rnacentral:tRNA from 1 species
GCUUGGUUAGUAUAGAUAGUACGAUUGGCUUAGGACUAAUAGGGAGUGAGCCAAGCU